rnacentral:tRNA from 1 species
GUCCCGUGCGGCUCAGUUGGUAGAGCAUGGUGUUUGCAACGCCAGGGUUGUGGGUUCGAUUCCCACGGGGGACC